rnacentral:rRNA from 1 species
UACGGAGGGUGCAAGCGUUAAUCGGAAUUACUGGGCGUAAAGCGCGCGUAGGCGGCUUGAUAAGUCGGAUGUGAAAUCCCUGGGCUCAACCCCGGAACUGCCAUUGAUACUGGAUGUCUUGAGUUUGGUUGAAGUGGGCGGAAUGUAGCAUGUAGCGGUGAAAUGCUUAGAUAUGCUACAGAACACCGAUCGCGAAGGCAGCUCACUAAACCAACACUGACGCUCAGGCACGAAAGCGUGGGUAGCGAACAGGAUUAGAUACCCUGGUAGUCCACGCCGUAAACUAUGAUCACUCGUUGUUGGCGAUACACAGUCAGCGACCAAGCGAAAGCGAUAAGUGAUCCACCUGGGGAGUACGAUCGCAAGGUUGAAACUCAAAGGAAUUGACGGGGGCCCGCACAAGCGGUGGAGCAUGUGGUUUAAUUCGAUGAUACGCGAGGAACCUUACCUGGGCUCAAAUGUAGAGUGACAACCCCUGAAAGGGGGCUUUCUUCGGACACUUUACAAGGUGCUGCAUGGUUGUCGUCAGCUCGUGCCGUGAGGUGUCGGGUUAAGUCCCAUAACGAGCGCAACCCCUACCCUUAGUUGCCAGCAUGUAAUGAUGGGGACUCUAAGGGAACUGCCUACGCAAGUAGAGAGGAAGGUGGGGAUGACGUCAAAUCAGCACGGCCCUUACGUCCAGGGCUACACACGUGCUACAAUGGCCGGUACAGAGGGCAGCCACCACGCGAGUGGGAGCAAAUCUCCAAAGCCGGUCUCAGUUCGGAUCGAAGUCUGCAAUUCGACUUCGUGAAGCUGGAAUCGCUAGUAAUCGCGCAUCAGCCAUGGCGCGGUGAAUACGUUCCCGGGCC